AGGAGAAAGGUGGGUGUUUGCUCCCAUCGCCAGCCUGGCUGAACGGGCAGCCCGGAGCCCAAGCCCAUGGUCCCAGCUCCAGGGCUCCUGUGGCAUGCAGCUCCUCCACGAGAGGAGAAACACCAGUGCACGCCCUUGAAUGAGCGGGUCUCACUUGGAUGCAUGAGGGAGAUGGGAGCUAGAGCCUCACCAAUGCCAGCAGCCCCCACCACAAGGGCAAGCACAGGUUGGUUCUUACAGCCUGGAGGAAACCAGGAGAAGUUCCAUCUUUGGUGCAGCACACAGGAACAAUGGCUUUGGGCUUUCCCAUUUAAAAACAAACAAACAAAACCAAGAAACAGAAGGCUUCAGCAUAUCUGAUCCUGGAGGCUUUUGGUUCCUAAAGAGAAAAUAAAAAGAAGCUUGGAUUGGGGAACAAAGCCAAAAAAGGAGAGUUUGUUUUCAGUGGAAGUUCCAGGUGCUCCCAGGGGGCUCUGUGUGGCUGGGACAGAGGCUUGCUUUCUGCCUCAACACCUCUACCUGAUGUUUCUUAGGAUGCUGAAGCGGUUUCCACUGAGGCAGCUUCUCUUUAAUGGACGAAGCACCACCACGCACAGGAAAAUAUCAGCUUCCUUCUGAAAAGGGUAACUUUGUCAGAACACAGAACUGUCUGCAUUUUUGGAGAUUAAUUUGACCUUUUUCAGCACGUUUCCUCCCUGACUCACUUUCACUCAGAAUUUCCCUGGACGCAAAACCUUUUUCUGUCCCAUUUGCUCACCAGCCCCAUCCGAUCCCCCAAACCCUCCAAGAAGUGCUGAGUGUCGCGGCUGCUGUCAAACAAGCAAAUGUGUUCCCAUGCCCCAGUUUCUCCAUUUAAGCAAAUGAUGCUUUUUCACCAUUGCAAAGCAUCUCUUGACUUCUACGGUUGCCGAAGACCGAUUGCAACAGGUUUAUAUUUAUGUUUACAGCCACCUGUACAACCAGCACAGCACGGACCCAUGGGUGAUGCUGCGAGGUUUGCCCUGGGUGGCAAACAUACAGUCUCCCCCAGAAGGAGAAAAAGAAUUGCAGGUGUGGAUGGGAGGGAGACUGUUUAUCUUAGAGCACGUGGAUUAAUUGCAGCAGGUCUUGGUUUUAAACCAAUAUUUAGUCUCGGACGCUUUGCUCUCCCUGUUCCCGUGCCUGCUGCUGCCAGUUCAUGGUUGUGGUGGUGGGGGAGAUGUGGGAGCUCGGAGAGCAGGGUGGGGAAAUGUCUGAGAUUUCCCCCAUUUUAUCUCCCGACACCUGUAAGCAAUAUUUACCUGUUCCCAUCCGCUAUUACCAUCCUGCAAAAUGAUGCAAUGAAAGGCUUUGAUCUACAAAUGGAUUAAAAUCGGCCUCCAGAAAGCUGAUUGCCACCGAGCCUCUGCUGCUCUCCUCUGACCUCAGCCCCUCUCAGCCUAUUUGCAUCGAUCUGUCAUGAAGACACAUCCCUAUUUCCAAACAUGACCCGGAGGGAGAGCUUGGAGCCCAUGAAGCUGUUUUCUGCCCUGGGCUUGAGUCGCCCCCCCCCCACGCAUUUCCCCACUGUGUAGUGGCUACAAGAGCCAGCACAGAGCAUUGCCACCACCGCCCUGAGUCUUGCCACUGAAUGGCUGCGGUUCUUUGCUCUCUGCACCUAUUUAUUCUGUUUUUCCUAUUGCGGGGGCUCUGCUGCUCUGCAGCCCUUUAUCUUGAUCACAAGUCUUGCUCAGCUUCUGGGUGAGCCGCCCGCACAACAAAGCAAAACCAAGCAAAGUGAAGCAAAACGCUGCUGCCUUGACAAUGGGCCGCUCCCAACCUGCCCCGCGAGCAGAAGUGAGACGGGGAGCUCUUUGCACGUGGACGUGAAACCAAUCUCACAUGUAACUCUGAGUCACCGCGAUGUUUGCCUUGGUUUUUUGGGUGUUCAUGGCAAUGCUCAGAACCCCAGCUUGGGUGGACUCGCAGAAAUCUCCGUGCUGCAUCUAUGUGAUUUUCAGUGGUGCAGCGUAGGAGAGAGGUUUGGCACCAAGCAGCGCUGAGCAUCAACAAGAAGAUGGCCCAAUAUUUUAAGAAAUGUGGGUCCCGUGCUGGCUUACCAGCUCCUUUAGGUGCUCACUGAUGAGCCACGCGUGAGGUGCACCAAACUGAAAGCAUUCAGCCUGCAGCAGAAGUUUGCAACGGCCCGGGCUUUGGUCUUAGCCAGCCCCGCAUUGCUCUGAUGCUGGAGCUCAGGGCACUCCCACACGCUGGGACCAAGCUGAGCGCAUGGGUGCAGCAGAGCUUUGCUUUCUUCUCUCUUGUUCUCUGCUUUUUUUCUCCCUUUUU